rnacentral:RNase_P_RNA from 1 species
GCAGACUCAAGGCUGCGAUGCUCGUUCCACACAGGACUACCAAUCCUCUUUCGCGAGCGGGCCAAGGUCUGAGCAUUCAAUCCUCCUCGAUCUGUCCUUGCGGGACACGGUUAUAACUAGCCAAGCGACUCAUCAGAAAACCACCCACAAGUCUACCAUGCCCAAAGAUCUCGUGGAGGGAGGGCUUUCGACCUAGAUAUGGGCUUGGAACUUGUCGCGAGGAUCGGGUGGUGCUAUUUCCGGUGCCAGCUGUGCUUCUACUGGCGCGAGGGCGCAGUCAUUGACUGCAACGAAAUGGCGUGGACCCACAUUCUGGAUCCCCCAUCUUUCGAGUCUCUGUCAUCAAAGAAACUUAAGCUCUAAGCGGUUUUUUGUUUUCGUCAGCGACACUUUCGUCUGCUGUCGCGGAGCUUUCGUUUGCCCAACUCUUACUGGUCAACCCCAGAGUCAUACUGGCCUUUGCCAUGAGAUUCUGGGGACCUGACGGCAUCGCGCGCAGGGAAGGUCCUUUGCGGGGCAGCUGUCACUGGAUGUAACUAUCCUUUAGUUCACUUCGCAGCUCGCAUUCUCGGUCGUUGUUCUAGAGCACCGAUCGGUCGCGAAACUCGAUUCAGACUACUCUCCGUCUGC